AAUAUAUGUCCAAAGCUCGACCAGUAGUGUUGGUUGGCAGCUUCUCGAUAUUAUAGUCUAGUCAAGAAUGCUUUUCCUUACAUUUCAUCAUAGGUCUAUGGGUAUUGAAAAUGAGACUGAACAUGCUAGUAUUUCAAGGAGUGCCUUUCAGUCCAUGUGCACUGAACAAAAAGUAAGCUGAGUACAUCCAUGAUGUCCUGAGAGUUGCUUCCACAACACAUUCUAAUCUCAAAUGCCUACUGUCUCCAGUUCUGCUUUCUUAAGUUAGAAUUUUUUACAGAAGCCUGAAUUAAACUCCUUUGUAAAAGAGAGACAGAGAAAGAGAGACAGACAGAGACAGAGAGAGCAAGGAAGGAAGAAGAUGGAGGGAGGAAAGGAAGGAAGAAGGAAGGGAAGGGAGAAGAGAAUUGAGAGAGAGAGAGAGAGAGAGAGAGAGAGAGAAGUGGUAAGCAAACCCAACCCUUAGAUUAUAUCACAACGAUUUUAAACUUAUGUUCCUCUAAUAGGGCCACAUCUACCCUUAGUCCACUGGAAUUCAGUGGCUAACAAUUGGUUGCUGGACAUUUUCUAACCAAACAAGCAUGACAAUUAUGGAAAACAUCCAUCCUGGGGCUAAUAUAGGAAUUUACUUUUAGAACUGAGAAUAUAAAAGUUCUACAUACCAUGUUAGAAGUUUUAUUGUGAAGGGUAAUUUGGGGAGAUAUAGAAAUAUUUAUGGAAUGCUUUUGGAAAAGUUCAUUAACUUAUUGCAUUCAUCACAAUUUCUAUAUCAAUGAGCGUGAGGUAAGAUUUUCACUAUAUUUGUAAAGUAAUAUCAAUGUGCAAGGAUGUGGUAAAUUAGUAGAGUCUAUUAAUUGGCUUAAAGUGUCUUCCCAGUAAGAGCAGAUGUGAGUUCUUGUACAGCUCAGCUUUUAAAAUCUAACAAUAGUCACUUCAUGAGACCACAACCAAACCUCAUGUCAUAUGCAGCUCAUUCCCAAGUGUCUGUAUUCUCAAGGCGAAUGAACAGUGUGUUUCUGCUGGAGAAAAUACCUACCAUGGUUUGCCACAGAAAUGAGACAUGAAGACUGAAUGAGUUCCUGAUCUUUUUUUCUGCAGACAUUUCAAACUUUCUUCUCUAAGAGACUGUGAUCUGUAGCGUUAUAACUGAAGAUGUCCUGAACAUCACAUCAGCUUGGGUGUUUGUUGAAACAAGUUCUUACUUCAAUAGCGUUGCUUAGAAAUUCAUUUCUGAAAGAUGAAUUGAGGAAGACGUUUAACUCUGUCUGUCUGUCUUACUCCACACCUGGAGAGAAAAACUAAUGGGAAAAACAGAAUCCACAGAGGCAAGUAACAAACAGAGUGCCUGCUCGCUAGCUGUAAAGGGCAAACAGGAGACACAAGAAGAUGGGCAAGCCUAUGUAAUGUGUGAUUAUCUGAGGUAUAAUCUUGAGAUUUAAAUUUUCCUUAUUUAAUAGAAAUAGGAGGAUUUGAAAAUGUAACUGAAUGACAAACGCUUGCGGUUUUGACCACCAAUACUUUACCCCUUCCCCAG
rnacentral:lncRNA from 1 species